GGAGGGGUACCGAAGUGGUCAUAACGGGCCGCUCUCGAAAAGCGGUUGGGUCGUAAGGCUCGCGUGGGUUCGAAUCCCACCCCCUCCG
rnacentral:tRNA from 1 species